CGUCUUACGUGACAGUAUCUAGAUGUCGUUAUCGAUAGAAAUCUCUAAUACUGUCAGGUAAUGAUGAC
rnacentral:pre_miRNA from 1 species